UGUCAUGGCGAGCUGUGCGCAGGAGGCUUCGGCCUGCCGGUUCCUCUGUGCCGGUCUGCAAACCUGUGUACGGCUUGCCACCCUU
rnacentral:antisense_RNA from 1 species